rnacentral:rRNA from 1 species
UAGAUACCCUGGUAGUCCACGCUGUAAACGUUGGGCACUAGGUGUGGGGGCCACCCGUGGUUUCUGCGCCGUAGCUAACGCUUUAAGUGCCCCGCCUGGGGAGUACGGCCGCAAGGCUAAAACUCAAAGGAAUUGACGGGGGCCCGCACAAGCGGCGGAGCAUGCGGAUUAAUUCGAUGCAACGCGAAGAACCUUACCAAGGCUUGACAUGCACGGCGGCACUGCAGAGAUGUGGUGGCAUUUAGUUGGU